rnacentral:rRNA from 1 species
UACAGAGGUCCCAAGCGUUGUUCGGAUUCAUUGGGCGUAAAGGGUGCGUAGGCGGCGCGGUAAGUCGGGUGUGAAAUCUCGGGGCUUAACUCCGAAACUGCACUCGAUACUGCCGUGCUUGAGGACUGGAGAGGAGACUGGAAUUUACGGUGUAGCGGUGAAAUGCGUAGAUAUCGAGAGGAACACCUGCGGCGAAGGCGGGUAGCUGGGCCGACACUGACGCUGAGGCGCGAAAGCCAGGGGAGCGAACGGG